UACGGAGGAUGCGAGCGUUAUCCGGAUUUAUUGGGUUUAAAGGGUGCGCAGGCGGCGUGUCAAGCAAGCGGUAGAAUAGCGGGGCUCAACCCCGUCGAGCCGUUUGAACUGGCGCGCUUGAGUUCAGGCGAGGUAGGCGGAAUUCGUGGUGUAGCGGUGAAAUGCAUAGAUAUCACGAAGAACUCCGAUUGCGAAGGCAGCUUACCAGUCUGCGACUGACGCUCAGGCACGAAAGUGUGGGUAUCGAACAGG
rnacentral:rRNA from 1 species